rnacentral:rRNA from 1 species
CAAGUCGAACGGGAAUUACUUUAUUGAAACUUCGGUCGAUUUAAUUUAAUUCUAGUGGCGGACGGGUGAGUAACGCGUGGGUAACCUGCCUUAUACAGGGGGAUAACAGUCAGAAAUGGCUGCUAAUACCGCAUAAGCGCACAGAGCUGCAUGGCUCGGUGUGAAAAACUCCGGUGGUAUAAGAUGGACCCGCGUUGGAUUAGCUUGUUGGUGGGGUAACGGCCCACCAAGGCGACGAUCCAUAGCCGGCCUGAGAGGGUGAACGGCCACAUUGGGACUGAGACACGGCCCAGACUCCUACGGGAGGCAGCAGUGGGGAAUAUUGCACAAUGGGGGAAACCCUGAUGCAGCGACGCCGCGUGAAGGAAGAAGUAUCUCGGUAUGUAAACUUCUAUCAGCAGGGAAGAUAGUGACGGUACCUGACUAAGAAGCCCCGGCUAACUACGUGCCAGCAGCCGCGGUAAUACGUAGGGGGCAAGCGUUAUCCGGAUUUACUGGGUGUAAAGGGAGCGUAGACGGUGUGGCAAGUCUGAUGUGAAAGGCAUGGGCUCAACCUGUGGACUGCAUUGGAAACUGUCAUACUUGAGUGCCGGAGGGGUAAGCGGAAUUCCUAGUGUAGCGGUGAAAUGCGUAGAUAUUAGGAGGAACACCAGUGGCGAAGGCGGCUUACUG